UACCUGGGAACUGGAAGACGACGAAGAAGAAGCGUGGGAAUCCGGCGGCAAUGGCUGGGAUGACUGAACUUACGGGAAGGAGUGCUUCCAAGAUGGGAGACGAAGAAGAAGAAGCCGCUGAAUCCGGCGGCAAUGGCUGGGAUGCUGCGUUCUCCAGAAGAAGCGUUAUUUCUGCAUUCCAAGAAGGACGGCACAAUGUGUCGGACUGUCCGCGUCGCAUUGAACUGGUCCGAUGAGGCUGCUAUUGCACACACAGUGAGGGAACUCCCAUACGGGAACUCGAAAGUACUGCUACAGUACAGGUAAGGUGGCC